CGAAAUUCGAUAAUAAUCUCGAAUUUUUCUUAAUUAUUUAGAUUAUAAUUUUUAAAAUAAUAAAACAAAAUAACGUGCGGAUUUAUAAACUAAAAUUGGAACUCUCUAUUUUUCCUUGUAAGUGUAAUAAUAUAUUUUAUCAAUAUUUACGUCACAACCCAAUGAUCGUGAUAAAAUACGCAUUAACAAUGCGUACGUAUAGAUUAACAAUACCGUAUACGUACUUAUUUAGAUAGACUAAUUUGUGUGUAUUGAUUUCUCAAGAAUCGACCGAAUGACUCCUUUUUCGUGCUGUUUAUAUUUUGUCCUCAAGGACUUCUCAGGUUUCUUUCUCACAUGAGUGAUACGUUACGUCUCUUUUUCAUUGUCGACUAAACAAUUCUAGUAAAGUCCUCGUCGCUACGACAAAAAACUUUAGUCGCUAUUUGUCGCUCUAAGAAGACGGUCGUGUGAUAAUUUUGCCGGUAUUAUGAAUAUUAAAGAAGAAAAUGUAAUUAGUAGUUUGGAAAAUGAUGCUUGGGCAUCUUCGAAUAAUUUAGAAGAGAAAAAAAUGGAUAGUACUGUCGAUGAAUCUGAUUGUUUUAAAAAGGAACAUGAUAUUUCAAUGAUUAGGACAGAUGUUUAUGAUAAUCAAAUCGAAUUAUUGUUAUUAACAGAGAAUGAGAAAGAAAAUGAAUGUAUUAUCGAGAUACCAGAUUCUGUCGUUAACUGUGAUUAUGAGACUUCUAAUGAUUUUACUAAAACACUUAAUGAUUCUAUAUGGAUUAUGACUGAUAAAGAGGCACAAGAUGUUAAUAAAAAAAUUCUUUCCUUAGAUUCACAAGUGUUUAAAUUAACUAUGUUGGAAGGUGACGAUACGGUAUCGUACUUGACAUAUAAAUGUGAUUCAAGAAAUAAUAGAGACUUAUUAAAAUUGCAAUCUGAUAAGAAUAAAUUCAUACUUAAUAAUCUUUCUAAUACUCGUAGUUUACCUAAUAUAUUAAGAGGCCCUAAAACAUUUUCUAAACAUGAUACAUCCUCUAUUACAUUUGAAACAGAAGAUAAUUCUUAUAAUACUAAUUUCAUACUUGAAAAUAAUAUUUUUGAAGAAGAGAACAUUAAAAAUGUUACAAAAUCCCAUCAUAAAAGAAAACAAAGACAUAAUCCAUUGAUUAUACAAGAAGAAUCUAUGAAUUGGGUGGUUAAUAAUACAGAUAAUUGCAAUGACAAUUCUAUAAGAAAAAAUAAACUCAACUCGAGGAAAGAAGCUAAACUUAAUCAUAGCAAUAAAAGAAAAAUGAAACAUAAAAGGAAAUCAUUUUUAUAUAAAAAGGUAAUCGACAAACAACCUGUCAAAAAAGCUUUCCAGGAAUCUAAUGUUACUACAGAUUCUACUAUGUCUAAUUUGGAACAAAAUAAAGAGAGAACUAAUGAUUUAGAUCUUUCUAUCGAAUUUAAUGCAUUUUAUGAAGAACAAUUUCAUGAAGAUUAUACGGAUCACUUUGACAUCUUAACCGAUGUUAUAAAAGAACAACAAGUUUUAGGUGAUGAAUGUUAUAAUAUACAUUCUAAUAACAUUCAUAGUUCUAAUGUUAUGGAUUGUCCAGAAUUACAAUGUCAGGAAUCUCUAAGAUAUAAUUUUGUAGAACAGAUAGAUAAUAGUUGGGAAGAUAAAAAUGUUAUUUUUAAAGAUGAUAGCCUAUCAGAUUGUGAGGACUAUUUUCAACAUGAAAAUAAUAAUUAUUUAUUGUUUGGAAAAUGUUCGGAUACAAAACAUAUUUCUUCAAAUGAAUGCGAUUUAGAAAUGGCAAGCAUUUAUACUAUGUACGAUAAAAAUUAUUUAUCAAGUUAUUUUAAUGAUUCAUUGGAUAAUGCAUUAUGCCAAAAAAGUCUAUCAUAUAAUUGUCUACAAAAUUCUUUGGACAAAGUUAAAAAUUCGGAUAAUCUGUUAAUCGAAAAAAGAAAAUAUGAAACUUAUUCGGAAAGUCAAUUGAAUAACGAUCUAAAUUCUUCAAAUAUUAAUUUUGCAUCUACUAAUAUUAAUAAAAAUACAACACAUGAUUUUUUAAAUAAUGAUUUAGAACAUUCAACUAUUAUAAGUGAAAAAGUCAAUGCACAACAGAGUAUACAAUCUGAUGUACUUCUCAACACAGAUCUUUCUGCAAAAUUCUCAUCAGAUCCAAAAAAAGUAACGUUAAAAAAUUUACCCAAGAAUGAUAUGCUAUUAGAAAAAGUAGUACAAGAAAAAAAAGAAAUGCAUUAUAAUUAUAUGAUUGUUCACAAAUUUGACGAAGAAUUUAAGUUAAAAUGUAAUUACGAAGAAACAAAUAAUAAACUAUUUUUAAUAGAAAAAAGUGACUCAAUUAUAGCGGAAAAUCAUAAUUUAAAUGAUAUAAAAAAAACAAAAAAUGUUAUAGAACCUUCACAGUGUUUACUAUGUCCAUUAACAUUUUCAUCCAAACGUUCACUGGCAUUACAUAUAGCAGGAGCACAUGGAGAUAUGUAUGUAAUAUUGUGCGAACGUUGCGGUCGACUUUUCAAUAAAAAGUAUAUCUUUAAUAAACACUAUAUACAUUGUGGCUGUGUUAAACUACCUUUUACUUGUAAAAUGUGUAAUAGAAAUUACAGGCAUAAAUCAUCUUUGUUGCAUCAUCUUAAAAUCGAGCAUCAAAUGGAAAAUAAACCACAUACAACAAAGGCAUAUAAAUGUGAUAUUUGUUCCAAAAUAUAUAGAAAAUAUGGUGCUUUUGAAAAGCAUUUGGGUAUACAUGUUAGUUCCCAAAAAUCUCUAAAUCUAAGGAAUAGGAAAUAUACUUUCAUAGUCGCUGACUAAUACCCAUUAUCUUUCACAUAUUGCAUUGAAUAUAUCAAUACUAACAAAUUAUUGAAAUAAUUUAAGUUCACGCAUCCUUUAAUUUUCGUUCGUUUAAACAAAUUAACCGACAUAAAAGAAAAAGAGAGGAAAAGAAAAUGAAAGAAAAUUGUCAUUCAAGCGUGCUUACAUCGAUUCCUCUAAGAUAUUAAGUAUUUUUUAUCUUACAUAAUAUUCUAUUUAUGUACAUUCGACUGAUUUAGAAUAUAUUACUAUAGUUUAUAUAUAUAUAUAUAUAUUAUUAUAUAUACACACAUAUAUAUAUAUUUUUGUUUAAUUAUUGUUUUAUGUGCAAUUUUUAUUUUUAUACUUUUUAUAAAUGUGUAUAAAUGGAUUAUAUUAGAAAACAUUUCAAACAAAACUAAUUUUAUCGUUAAACAUAUACAUAUGCAUUAUGACAAAUAAAACUUGUCAUAUUUUUGUUCAUUUAAUCGCUUUAAGAACAGAGAUAUAAAAAAUCGAAGUCGUUAUAAUCUAUAAGACGAAAGAUUAUUAAAAUAAUGAUCUUCGAAAGAAAAUUAUAUCGGCUAAUAUUUGUAUGUACUUAAUUUUUGAUUAAUUUUUGAUAGGACAAUUCUCAUUCACAGAGAAAUCUCUUGCGGUAAUUUAAUGCGAGAUAAAUGAAUAAACAAAAAUAAGAGAUGACCAAAAAUUUGUACUACAAAUUGUAUGCAGUAUUUCCCAUAUUCUCGGUCUUGUAAAAAAAAUGUGACGUGUGAAAAAAAUUGUCAAAUAUAUAAUAAAAGAUAUAAUAUUUUCAUAUAA